rnacentral:lncRNA from 1 species
CAUUAUUGAAACUGGACAACUAAAAUGGGGAUAAUAUUUUCGUAAAUAUAUAUAUAUUUUUUAAAUUGUUUAUUGUGGAAUGCUUGUAUUAAUAUAACAAGCUACAGCAAAAAUUACAACAAACCGACGAAAUGGGCUCUGUCUUACGGCAAAUUCACUUUUACACAAAUUAGUUUAUGUAUCAAAAACUUAAAUUGAAGGAUAGAACCGUUUAGAAUUGUGAAUAUUUUAAUUGACUAAUACACGAAAGACUUAGAUUUUUCGUAUUUAAUAAAGGGGGUC